CUCGGAGGAGAUAUAAGGCGGCCGUCUUUGACAGUAGGUCCAGUCAUGCCACGAAUUUUUACCAUACACAUAUGAAUCCGCGUGAAUGAAACGGGGUGGUGGGGAUGGUCUGCCACUCGGAGGAGAUAUAAGGCGGCCGUCUUUGACAGUAGGUCCAGUCAUGCCACGAAUUUUUACCAUACACAUAUGAAUCCGCGUGAAUGAAACGGGGUGGUGGGGAUGGUCUGCCACUCGGAGGAGAUAUAAGGCGGCCGUCUUUGACAGUAGGUCCAGUCAUGCCACGAAUUUUUACCAUACACAUAUGAAUCCGCGUGGUACGCACGCUCCGC